AUGAAAUGAUGAUACUAUUAGUCAGUUCUGCUACUGAAUAUAUAUGACGACAAUUCUUUUCUGAAUU